rnacentral:rRNA from 1 species
ACCUACGGGGGGCAGCAGUAGGGAAUUUUCGUCAAUGGGCGCAAGCCUGAACGAGCAAUGCCGCGUGAACGAGGAAGGUCUUCGGAUCAUAAAGUUCUGUUGAAGGGGAAAAAGAGCGGAGAGAGGAAAUGGUCUCCGAUUGAUAUUACCCUUCGAGGAAGUCACGGCUAACUACGUGCCAGCAGCCGCGGUAAUACGUAGGUGGCGAGCGUUAUCCGGAAUGAUUGGGCGUAAAGGGUGCGUAGGCGGCCUGCUAAGUCUGGAGUGAAAGGUACCGGCUCAACCGGUACAGGCUCUGGAAACUG